GAGGGGAUAGCUUGGUGGUAGAGUGUCAGCUUAGCAUGCAUGAGGUCCUGGGUUCAAUCCCCAGUCCCUCUG
rnacentral:tRNA from 1 species